rnacentral:lncRNA from 1 species
GAUGUUAAAGAGGAAACAAGGUGGGGCUUCCUGACCCUUAGAGGGUUCUUGGUGGAUAGCUAGAAAGUCUCAAUUCUGGUGGCCUUACACAUUUCCUGGUUUCAGAGACUGGCCUGAGGAGGAGGCCUGGAGUGCUUGUCUCAGGUGAGUGUAUUUUGUCUUGCUUUAAGGUGGUGAAUCAACGGAACUUGGUUUCCAGCUUGCUCCUCACCUAGCCACACCCCCACCUGUGGGGAGGAAACCCCAUGGCGUCACGUCACGUCGGGGGCGGGGCGGGAUUACCGAAGGGCGGGGCUAGUGCUCUUUAGGUCGACGCUUGAGCGCGGAGAGUGGACUGGACUAUCUGGUGGUGAGGAGACGCGGACGCCUG